CACGUAGGGUGCGGGCGUUGUCCGGAAUUAUUGGGCGUAAAGAGCUCGUAGGCGGUGUGUCGCGUCGGCCGUGAAAACCUGGGGCUUAACUCUGGGCCUGCGGUCGAUACGGGCAUCACUGGAGUUCGGCAGGGGAGACUGGAAUUCCUGGUGUAGCGGUGAAAUGCGCAGAUAUCAGGAGGAACACCGGUGGCGAAGGCGGGUCUCUGGGCCGAUACUGACGCUGAGGAGCGAAAGCGUGGGGAGCGAACAGG
rnacentral:rRNA from 1 species